AAGUCGUAACAAGGUUUCCGUAGGUGAACCUGCGGAAGGAUCAUUACCGAAGUUCCCGUCGCUUUCAGCGCGGAAUUUCCCACCCUUGAAUACCUUACCUUUGUUGCUUUGGCGGGCCACGUUCGCGUGUCGGCCCCGGCUGACUGCGCCCGCCAGAGGACCCAAACUCUUUUGUUUAGUGAUGUCUGAGUACUAUAUAAUAGUUAAAACUUUCAACAACGGAUCUCUUGGUUCUG
rnacentral:misc_RNA from 1 species